GACGAACGCUGGCGGCGUGCUUAACACAUGCAAGUCGAACGGAAAGGCCCUGCUUUUGUGGGGUGCUCGAGUGGCGAACGGGUGAGUAACACGUGAGUAACCUGCCCUUGACUUUGGGAUAACUUCAGGAAACUGGGGCUAAUACCGGAUAGGAGCUCCUGCUGCAUGGUGGGGGUUGGAAAGUUUCGGCGGUUGGGGAUGGACUCGCGGCUUAUCAGCUUGUUGGUGGGGUAGGGGCUUACCAAGGCUUUGAGGGGUAGCCGGCCUGAGAGGGGGACCGGCCACGUGGGGACUGCGAUAGGGCCCAGUCUCAUACGGGAGGCAACGGGGGGAAAUAUGGCGCAGGGGGGGCAGGCCAGAGGCGGCAGCCCCGCGUGCGGGAUGACGCCUUUCGGGUUGAAAACCCCUUCCGCCGGUACCAAGGGGGGAGUGACGGUAACGGAUAAAAAAGCCCCGGCUAACUACGUG
rnacentral:rRNA from 1 species